GCCAAAAAUCUAACUCAAACCUCCACCAAUAACAUUACAAGUUUUUCUUACCCAAACUAAAACAUUCAAUAGAUUUAGUAAAGGCGAUCAAAACAUCCUUUGAAGUUAUAUUUUAGUACCGCAAGGGAAUGAUGAAAUAAAAAUGAAAUAAUUUUAAGCACAAAACAAUAGAGAUUAAUCCUCGUACCUUUUGCAUCAUGAUUUAAUUAGUCUAAUCAAGCAAAACGAAUUUAAGUUUGCCCCCCCGAAACUAGACGAGCUACUUUAGAGCAGCUUUACGAGCCAACCCUUUUCUGUUGCAAAAGAAUGGGAAGACCCUAAAGUAGAGGUGAUAAACCUAACGAGCCUAGUGAUAGCUGGUUACUUAAGAAAAGGAUCUAAGUCCAACCCAACUUUUAUAUAAUAUAACUAAAUAAACACUAAAUUUUGGAGUAAUUCAAAUAAGGUACAGCCUAUUUGAAACAGGAUACAACCUAUAUAAACGGGUAAUUCAAUAAAUUAUAACAAAGUAGGCCUAAAAGCAGCCAUCUUUUAAAAAGCGUCAAAGCUUUAUUACUUUUUAACAAAAUUCCUCUAACUAUUAAAAACCCUUAAUCUGUAUUAAGUAACUCUAUAUUCUUAUAGAACUUAUUAUGUUAAAACUAGUAACAAGAAUUAAACCUUCUCCCAAUGCAAGUGUAAGUCAGACCGGAUAAACCACUGAUCCUUAAUAUCUAGAAAAUAAAGUAAUAACUUAUCAAGAAAACUUUACUUCACACAAUAUUAAUCUAACACAAGAGCAUUUCCGGACAGAUUAAAAAGAAAAGAAGGAACUCGGCAACUACUAACCUCGCCUGUUUACCAAAAACAUCGCCUCCUGUUAAUCUAUAGGAGGUCCAGCCUGCCCAGUGACUCUGUUUAACGGCCGCGGUAUCCUAACCGUGCGAAGGUAGCGUAAUCACUUGUUCUUUAAAUGAGGACUAGUAUGAAUGGCAUCACGAGGGUUACACUGUCUCCUUUUCUAAAUCAGUGAAACUAAUCUCCCCGUGAAGAAGCGGGGGUAAAUCUAUAAGACGAGAAGACCCUAUGGAGCUUUAAACUUCUCAACAAUUAUCUUCAUAUUUAUAAUCCCCAGGACAAUAAAACUAACCUAGAUAAUAUGUCUGCAAGUUUUCGGUUGGGGUGACCGCGGAGCAAAAUACAACCCCCGCAAUGAAUUAGAAUACUAUUUCUAAACAAUGAGUUACAACUCUCAGUAUCAAAAAAUUGACAUGAUUGACCCAACACUUUGAUCAAUGAACCAAGUUACCCUAGGGAUAACAGCGCAAUCCAUCUUAAGAGCUCUUAUCGACAGAUGGGUUUACGACCUCGAUGUUGGAUCAGGGUAUCCCAGUGGUGCAGCCGCUACUAAAGGUUCGUUUGUUCAACGAUUAAAACCCUACGUGAUCUGAGUUCAGACCGGAGUAAUCCAGGUCAGUUUCUAUCUAUAAAAAGCCUUUUCCAGUACGAAAGGACCGAAAAGACAAGGCCUAUAUUCUUAACAAGCCUUAUUUAUUAAAUUGUGAAUAAAACUUAAUAAUUUAACAAACUCCUAUUUUGCUCAAAAAAAGUGCAG
rnacentral:rRNA from 1 species